GUUGUGCCAGUGCUGAUCUGUCUUGAUGUGAAUGUGAACAAUGGGAACCUGAGCUGAGCAGUUAAUGCUAGGGUGACAGAAACUGGACCUCUCCCAAGACAUGUGACAGAGUAAUACAGCAGCCAACUUCUUCGCCAAAUUAAAGUUUUACAAGAUUUAACCUGUCAUCAAGACCUGGGAUUUUGGUGAAGGACAGAAUAACGGGCUCCCAGAUUCACAAGCCCCACCAAGAGGAUCACCCCAGGAACGCUUGGAGGCUGAGGAGUUCACUGAGGCUACUGCAUCUUGAGACUCAGGAUGAAGACCCAGCUUGGGGCUGUCAAAGGUUUUUUGCAUGUCUGACACCCAUGACUCCACCUGAACCUGAUGGCUCCACCCAGAAGCAAUUCAGCCCAACAGGAGGACAGCUUCAACCCAUUACGAUUUCAUCUCUGCCCCAACCA
rnacentral:lncRNA from 1 species